rnacentral:rRNA from 1 species
UACGUAGGGUGCAAGCGUUAAUCGGAAUUACUGGGCGUAAAGCGUGCGCAGGCGGCUCUGCAAGACAGAUGUGAAAUCCCCGGGCUCAACCUGGGAAUUGCAUUUGUGACUGCAGCGCUGGAGUGCGGCAGAGGGAGAUGGAAUUCCGCGUGUAGCAGUGAAAUGCGUAGAUAUCGGGAGGAACACCUGUGGCGAAGGCGGCUUUCUGGGCCUUACCUGACGCUGAGACGCGAAAGCGUGGGGAGCGAACCGG